GCCUCCCAAGCCGCUGAGCCCCACCACUGGCCUCAAGCGAAGAUUACAUUCCACCUGGCCCAACCUGCGCGGGCCGCGCCCACGGACUGUCCCUCGCCUUGCGCCUGCACAUCCCACUCAGUCCCGCGCUGCCCCUGGCCUCGCCCUCGCAGUGGAUGCCUGUCUUGUGCACGGAGUCGCCAUUUUGCCGCUAGAGAAGCCCUCUGGAGACCUGAACGCUCUUUUUUCAGUGGCCUAGCCUGCGGCGGCCCUGGGGCUGAGGUCUGGGCCAGGUAGGCGGGCGGGAGCCGGCUGUGAGCGGCGGCGCGGCCCGGUGGCCCCGAGGUUAGCGGGCGCAGGUGCCUCGGCGGGGAGUCCUGCCUGCGGUUUCACGGGCCCAGGGCAGCGGGCAUGGCUCUGGGGGCGACCCGGCCUCAGCCCGCAAGGCCCCUCUCUCCCUUCCUCCCUUCUCUACUUCAGGAGUCCACACAGCCAGGCCUGGCGCGCGGCCUGGAGUCGUUGGCCCCCGCCAGGCGCUGCUGGGAACCCCGCUCUGAUGUGGGACCUGUGGGAGGUCGCUCAGGUCUCACAUGGCCUCUGCUGUCACUGAGCCUGGCUGUGCUGAGCCGGGGACAUUUACCCCCAAAAGGAUGAUUUCAUUCCACUCCGAGCUCCUCCCUGCAGAGACUGAAAGAGGACCAAGAUAUUACAGUAUUUGUCCAAUUAUCUUGGAAAAUUUGGAGUUCAGCAAGAUGUUGAUUCAUUUUCUGUGCAGACUGAGAGACAAGCCACACAACCUGUUGUUGGAUUUUGCUUUUAAGUCAUGUACCAUGUUCAUCUUUUUAUUCUGAUUGACUCUAUUCUGUUUUGUUUCAUUUGGCUUCAUUCUCUUUAAAAUAAAAUUAAAAAACAUUUUCUUGCUGA